GUUWAGUGGGAAACGAUGUGGGAAGGCCCAGACAGCCAGGAUGUUGGCUUAGAAGCAGCCAUCAUUUAAAGAAAGCGUAAUAGCUCACUGGUCGAGUCGGCCUGCGCGGAAGAUGUAACGGGGCUAAACCAUGCACCGAAGCUGCGGCAGCGACACUAUGUGUUGUUGGGUAGGGGAGCGUUCUGUAAGCCUGUGAAGGUGUGCUGUGAGGCAUGCUGGAGGUAUCAGAAGUGCGAAUGCUGACAUAAGUAACGAUAAAGCGGGUGAAAAGCCCGCUCGCCGGAAGACCAAGGGUUCCUGUCCAACGUUAAUCGGGGCAGGGUGAGUCGACCCCUAAGGCGAGGCCGAAAGGCGUAGUCGAUGGGAAACAGGUUAAUAUUCCUGUACUUGGUGUUACUGCGAAGGGGGGACGGAGAAGG
rnacentral:rRNA from 1 species